ensembl:ncRNA W01C8.15 ncRNA
AACAUGUGUUCGAAUGUUGUCCGGGGGGCACCUCACCAAUCACUACCGGAACUUCCCCCGCUGGUCCUCGAGAAAACGAAAUUUAGCUAAUUUGCAUAAAUCACCUCAUUGUGAGCAUGCGCAUAAGGUCACAA